CGGAAAGUAGUAUAGUUGGUAUGGUUACUCCUUGGAGUCGGGUUGCUUGAAAGUGCAGCCUAAAGUUGGUGAUAAACUUCAUCUAAGGCUAAAUAUCGACGCGAAAUCGAUAGCAAACAAGUACCGUGAGGGAAAGUUGCAAAGAACUUUGAAGAGAGAGUUCAAGAGAACGUGAAAUCGCUGAAGUGGAACCGGAGAGAGUUAACAUAACUUGGUAGCUAUAUCCUCUAAAGUCGCUUAACUGUGGCUCUGGGGGGUGGACGCUACCUGUUGUUGCACUGACUGCGUUGAUUGUGCUUUCCGAACAGUAUAGUGUUGCCCACUUUGUGGUGUCUUGCUUUCUGGGAGGUUUGUCAUAAUUAACGUAAAGCCAAUUCCCUUUGGAGUCAGUGUGAAAGUUAACCACCUUUCCGACCCGUCUUGAAACACGGACCGAGGAGUGUAAUUUAUACGCGAGUCAAGGGGUGGUGAAAACCCUAGGGGCGGAAUGAAAGUAAAGGCCGGUUAACCGGUUGACAUGGGAUCCGCUCUUCGGAGCGGCGCACCAUGGCCCUGUCUUGUCUGCUUGCAGAUGGGCAGCGGUAGAGCGUAUAGUUUGCGACCCGAAAGAUGGUGAACUAUGCUUGAGCAGGACGAAGCCAGAGGAAACUCUGGUGGUAAGUCCGUAUCGGUUCUGACGUGCAAAUCGAUCGAUAGACUUGGGUAUAGGGGCGAAAGACUAAUCGAACCGUCUAGUAGCUGGUUCCCUCCGAAGUUUCCCCCAGGAUAGCUGGAGUAGUGGUGCGUGGUUAUAUCCGGUAAAGCGAAUGAUUAGAGGACUUGGGGGCGAAACGAUCUCAACCUAUUCUCAAACUUUCAAUGGGUAUGAUGUCUCGGUUUCUUUAUUGAACUGUUGACAUGAACGUGUGCUCCAAGUGGGCCAUUUUUGGUAAGCAGAACUGGCGCUGUGGGAUGAACCAAACGCUGGGUUAAGGUGCCUAACUUUUCUCUCAUGAGACCCCAUAAAAGGCGUUGGUUGAUA
rnacentral:ncRNA from 1 species